rnacentral:rRNA from 1 species
AACGAACGCUGGCGGCGUGCCUAACACAUGCAAGUCGAACGAGAAAGGGGCUUCGGCUCCGAGUAAAGUGGCGCACGGGUGAGUAACACGUAGGUAACCUGCCUCUAAGAUUGGGAUAACCUGUCGAAAGAUGAGCUAAUACCAAAUAAGACCACAGUUUCUUCGGGAACAGCGGUCAAAGGUAGCCUCUAUUUAUACGCUAUCACUUAGAAAUGGGCCUGCGUACCAUUAGCUAGUGGUGAGGUAACGGCUCACCAAGGCAAAGAUGGUUAGCUGGUCUGAGAGGAUGAUCAGCCACACU